rnacentral:rRNA from 1 species
UACGAAGGGUGCAAGCGUUACUCGGAAUUACUGGGCGUAAAGCGUGCGUAGGUGGUUGUUUAAGUCUGUCGUGAAAGCCCUGGGCUCAACCUGGGAAUUGCGAUGGAUACUGGGCGACUAGAGUGUGGUAGAGGGUGGCGGAAUUCCCGGUGUAGCAGUGAAAUGCGUAGAGAUCGGGAGGAACACCAGUGGCGAAGGCGGCUCGCUGGGCCGGUCCUGACACUGAGGCGCGAAGGCGUGGGGAGCGAACGGG